rnacentral:rRNA from 1 species
CGUGCAUAACACAUUCAAGUCGAACGGAGUUAAUGUUUUAGAUCCCUUCGGGGUGACGAGAUAUUAACUUAGUGGCGGACGGGUGAGUAACGCGUGAGCAACCUGCCUUUGCGAGGGGGAUAACGUCUGAAAACGGACGCUAAUACCGCAUGACACAUUUGGAUUGCAUGGUCUGAAUGUCAAAGAUUUAUCGCGCAAAGAUGGGCUCGCGUCUGAUUAGGUAGUUGGUGGGGUAACGGCUCACCAAGCCGACGAUCAGUAGCCGGACUGAGAGGUUGAACGGCCACAUUGGAACUGAGAUACGGGCCAGACUCCUACGGGAGGCAGCAGUGGGGAAUAUUGGGCAAUGGGAGCAAGCCUGACCCAGCGACGCCGCGUGAGGGAAGAAGGUCUUCGGAUUGUAAACCUUUGUUGACAGGGACGAUAAUGACGGUACCUGUCGAGGAAGCCACGGCUAACUACGUGCCAGCCGCCGCAGUAAUAC